AAAGUUAUUUAUAAAAUAAUUUUCAAAACUAUUAAAUUUGAUUAAUUUUUAAAUAAAAUUGUUAAAAUAAUAUAACUAUUCAAAAAUUAAAAAAAUAUUAAUAAAAAAGUUAUAUUUGUAAAGCACAUAACACUAUUUUAUAAUUUUUUUAUGGAAAAACUUCAAAUACCCCCUUGUGGUUUCACUUUUUCUCACUUUAGUGUCCUGUUGUUUAAAGUGUAUCUAAGUUAAUACUCUGUGAUUUUGCACUUUUUCACUUUAAUACCCUGUGAUUUAAAGUAUAUCAAGUUAGUACCCUAUAGUUUCGCACUUUAUCAUUUUAGCACUCUGUGAUUUAAAAACCACAGGGUACUAACUUGAUACAAAAAUAAAAUCAUACAAUACUAAUUUGAUACAAAAAUAAAACCAUAGAGUACUAACUUGAUACAUUUUAAACCACAUGGUACUAAAGUGAUAAAGUGAGAAACCAUAGGAUACUAACUUGAUACACUUUAAACCACAAGGUACUAAAAUGAAAAAGUGCGAAACACAGGGGUUUUUUUAAAGUUUUCCCUAUUUAGUUAUAAUUAUUUAAUUUUAAAAUUUUAAUAAUUAUAUAUUUUUAUC
rnacentral:lncRNA from 1 species